UCUCCCGGGCGUCCUGGGUUGCCAAGGCGCGGUUGCCAGGGGCCUGCGCGGAGCGCCGUCCAGCCUUCCCGCGCGGGCGCUGGGUUUCCGCCGCCGCUGCCGCCGCAGCCUCAGCCGCCGCCGGGCCGCGUCGGGCUCGGCUCCUCCGAACCGUCUGGCGGACUUGGCACCGGCCCCCGCUCCUCAGUGCCCCCGCGGUGCGUGGCAGGCUGUGGCUUCAUUAUCCUGAUUGAUUCCUCCUGCUCCCCGACACCGUGGGGGCCCCGGCCAAGGAAGGGGGAGGGAAGCGGCAUCUGCGGGGCCCAUUCCCGUUCCUCCACCCAGCCGCUCCUCGGGCUGCCCGGCUACCGACCCUCGGCGCCCCGCGGCGGCCAGUCGGAUGGGGCGGGGUGGCAGCAUCCCCCAGAAUCAGAAAGGUGUCUGGGUGGGGAGGGAGAAUGGAGCUGGACUGAGAACUGAGAAGAGCAAGACCCGGCAGAAUGGGAAAGGUGACAUCUCUGAGAAGCGGGGUCUCCUGGGCAUCCAAGUAUACUUCUCAAGUGACAAGUCAUGGGUACGGUCUGCCCAGAAACUGCAGGAGCUUUAAGCAGGAGGACCCGUCCUCAGAAUCGGGUACCCACCCCCCACCCCCCACGAUCCCCAGUCAAGGGCUGAAAUCUGGAGAUCAGGCCUGAAGGUGGAGUGUCUUCAUUCUGCCACUUGGCCUGUGACCCGGGCAAGUAACUUGCUUUCUUGGCCGUGGUUUGUCUAUACAGUAGAAUUAUUAUCUCCCAGCAUCAAUGGUUACAUAAUUUACAUGUUGGCAGCAGGGCCCUAGCCAAGUUCACCAGAAACAAGAAAGGACGCUGUGGGGCUGGCCUCCAUCCCUGUGCUAUUUGGGGUGGAUCACUUGAGGGAGUGCCGCCAGCCCUGAGCACUAAGAAUACAAACCGUGUGAACCCCUCCAUGUGGAGUCUCCAGGCAGAAGAGGAAGCCAUGGCCGCCUAGUGGCUGCCAGGGAGGCUGGCAGGAAGGGGCUUCAUCAGACAUCUCCUGGGAAACAGUGAACUCCCCAUAGAAAGGACAUUUGACAGUAAAAUUCCUGCCUUAG